UACAGAGGUGGCAAGCGUUGUUCGGAUUUAUUGGGCGUAAAGGGUCCGUAGGCGGUUUGGAAAGUCAGAUGUGAAAUCCCACAGCUUAACUGUGGAACUGCAUUUGAAACUUCCAGACUAGAGUAUGAGAGGGGUUAAGGGAAUUCCCGGUGUAAGGGUGAAAUCUGCAGAGAUCGGGAGGAACACCAGUCGCGAAGGCGCUUAACUGGCUCAUUACUGACGCUCAGGGACGAAAGCUAGGGGAGCAAACGGG
rnacentral:rRNA from 1 species